GGCGCUAAAAUUUCCACCCUUAGUUCUCUUCUUUCUACCCUUACCCCCUACCCUCUUCCCUGCACCACUAUACCCUGAAGUCCAAGAUUCCCAUCUGUGAAAUACAGGGGGCUGCAGGUUGGCUUCCUGAAGCAUUCCAUCUAAGACACUCUGAAAAGGAAGACAAAUCUUAGUGAUGCUGUAUGGAGCUAUGAUUUUUGGAAACUGGGUACAAGACCUAGGAUGUUAGAGGAGAAAUAACUGAUUCUGCUCUGCUCCUGUAGUGUUGGCAGACUCUGAGCUCUCUCCCUCCAAAAAUUGCUCAGAAACCCCCGCCAGGCCCUACCUCUCCAGCAGGCCAUGGCCCUUCCAUUCUGGGAUCCACACGCUAUUUGCAGAUGCUUCUGGCCCUUCAACAAGUCCCAACUUGCCCAGUUAGUCCAAAUAAAGCACUUGGGGGCCAGGAAGUCAGGGUGGCUUACAGAAGAGGGGCACUUCCCAGAAUCUGGAAGAAAACUCUCUCUGUAAAUAGGCAUGGUCUGGCCCUGGCUCUGAAAGAAAGACUGCUAGUAACAUUGCCCUAUAAUAGAGCUGGAGUUGGAACCA